UACGGAGGGUGCAAGCGUUAAUCGGAAUUACUGGGCGUAAAGGGCACGCAGGUGGUUGGGUCAGUCGUUUGUGAAAGCCCUGGGCUUAACCUGGGAAUUGCAGUCGAUACUACUCAGCUAGAGUAUGGGAGAGGGCAGUGGAAUUCCCGGUGUAGCGGUGAAAUUCGUAGAUAUGGGGAGGAACACCGGUGGCGAAGGCGGCCAUCUGGACGGAUACUGACGCUGAGACGCGAAAGCGUGGGGAGCAAACAGG
rnacentral:rRNA from 1 species